CUGGUUCGCUCGAAGGAGCGAUUAAAAGGGAACGGGGUGAGAAUCUCCGACUGUCCGGCAGCUGUAAGCCGUCGCGAUGGGCACGAACAAAAUGUCACUGAGGGAAUAUCGGGAAGACGUUCGAUGCCUGACGGCAAAGUCAGAAGACCUGCCUCUUGCCAU
rnacentral:ncRNA from 1 species